GACGAACGCUGGCGGCGUGCUUAACACAUGCAAGUCGAACGAGGCCGGGGUGCUUGCACCCCGAGUCGAGUGGCGAACGGGUGCGUAACACGUGACCAACCUGUCCUAGGGUGAGGGACAACCUGGGGAAACCCGGGCUAAUACCGCAUGAUGUCCAGACUUCACAUGGAGACUGGAUCAAAGAGGGCCUCUGCUUGCAAGCUCUCGCCAAAGGAGGGGGUCGCGGCGUAUCAGCUAGUUGGUAGGGUAACGGCCUACCAAGGCUACGACGCGUAGUGGGUCUGAGAGGACGACCCGCCACAUUGGGACUGAGAUACGGCCCAGACUCCUACGGGUGGCUG
rnacentral:rRNA from 1 species